UACGUAGGGUGCGAGCGUUAAUCGGAAUUACUGGGCGUAAAGCGUGCGUAGGUGGUGAGUUAAGUCUGUCGUGAAAGCCCCGGGCUCAACCUGGGAAUGGCGAUGGAUACUGGCUCGCUAGAGUGCGGUAGAGGAGAGUGGAAUUCCCGGUGUAGCAGUGAAAUGCGUAGAGAUCGGGAGGAACAUCAGUUGCGAAGGCGGCUCUCUGGACCAGCACUGACACUGAGGCACGAAAGCGUGGGGAGCAAACGGG
rnacentral:rRNA from 1 species